GUCGAACAUUAGGAGUGUUGAAUUCCAACGUGUCGGGCUGUCGCAAAUCAAGCGCCUCACUGGCAUGUUGUUUUGCCGCUGGAUAUCGGCAAAGUGAGCCAUGGCCGUGUAGGAACGCCUGAAAUGGCCACACACCUUCCUGGCCUGCUUCAGGACGUCCUGUAAGCCUAUGUACUUAUGCACAAAGCGUUGUACGAUCAGAUUACACACAUGUGCCAUGCACGGCACAUGUGACAACUUGCCCAACUUCAAUGCCGCUAACA